GGGGCACGGGGGGAGGAAAGUAGGGGAUCGUAAGACCUUGCGCUUUUGGAGCGGCCGAUGCNUGAUUAGCUAGUUGGUGGGGUAAUGGCCUACCAAAGCUUCGAUCAGUAGCUGGUCUGAGAGGACGGCCAGCCACACUGGGACUGAGACACGGCCCAGACUCCUACGGGAGGCAGCAGUGGGGAAUUUUGGACAAUGGGCGCAAGCCUGAUCCAGCCAUGCCGCGUGAGUGAAGAAGGCCUUCGGGUUGUAAAGCUCUUUCAGCCGGGAAGAAAAGGUUGCGAUUAAUAAUCGCAAUUUAUGACGGUACCGGAAGAAGAAGCACCGGCUAACUACGUGCCAGCAGCCGCGGUAAUACGUAGGGUGCGAGCGUUAAUCGGAAUUACUGGGCGUAAAGGGUGCGCAGGCGGUUUUGUAAGUCAGA
rnacentral:rRNA from 1 species